rnacentral:tRNA from 1 species
CGGGAAAUGGCUCAGCUUGGUAGAGCACCUGGUUUGGGACCAGGGGGUCGCAGGUUCAAAUCCUGUUUUCCCGA